rnacentral:rRNA from 1 species
AGCGAACGCUGGCGGCAGGCCUAACACAUGCAAGUCGAACGAACCUUUCGGGGUUAGUGGCGGACGGGUUAGUAACACGUGGGAACGUGCCUUUUUGUUCGGAAUAACUCAGGGAAACUUUUGCUUAUACCCAAUUUGCCCUUCGGGGGAAAGAUUUAUCGCCUUUAGAGCGGCCCUCGUCUGAUUAGCUAGUUGGUUGAGGUAAUGGCUCACCAAGGCGACGAUCAGUAGCUGGUCUGAGAGGAUGAUCAGCCACAUUGGGACUGAGACACGGCCCAAACUCCUACGGGAGGCAGCAGUGGGGAAUCUUGCGCAAUGGGCGAAAGCCUGACGCAGCCAUGCCGCGUGAAUGAUGAAGGUCUUAGGAUUGUAAAAUUCUUUCACCGGGGACGAUAAUGACGGUACCCGGAGAAGAAGCCCCGGCUAACUUCGUG